rnacentral:lncRNA from 1 species
UAGUAUUUCCGCCUAACUCAAUUUUUAGGUAUUUCUUUCGGUGCGCCUACAUUUAGCUUUCAAGGGUAUACCUUCGUGCCACUAAAAAUGUUUAUUCUUACUUCAUGUAUGCUCUAAUAUAUAAUUGGUUUUUUUCCUGUAUCUCCACUUCAAAUGCGCUUUAAUUCUUACACUUCUACUUACUUCAUGAAGCUCCACAUUUUUCUACAGGUAUAUCUAAAGAGUCAAAUAUGAAUGAUAAUACUUGAGCUUCUUCCAAAGCAUUUAUCACUAAAUUUAGAAAGAACUCUCCUGAAAGAUUACCAUAAUUUGAAAGAACAAUUAAAUAUCUUCAUGGAAAACUUAUCUUUUGUUUAUAACUACAAAGUGAACAUUAUAGAACUCAAACAAGAGAUGACUUCUCUGUCAACAUAUUUGAUUGUUCUUUUAGAUUGUGUUAUUAUUUUAGGAGAGUUCUUUUUUAAGUUUGGUGAUAGUUACUUUGGAAGAAGCUCAAACUUUAGACUCCAGCAUAUUUCAUAUUAAGAGGUAAUUCCUAAACCUACGUCAAUUUUUCCUCAAUUUAAAGUCCUGAAUUAUGUGUUCAGAAGGAAUUAUAUUGUCAUUGUAUAAUCAAUUGUGAAACCAUUUUUGUUCCAGCAGUUGAAAAUAUCUCUAUGCCUCAGAAGCCCAGGUAUUCUCUUCUUUUCUUUGCACACUUCUCUCCUCCUCAGCGUGAUGGUCAUUAGGAUUUCUUAAUGCUUGUUGAGUCGAAUUUAAAUUCAUGUUUGUUCACAGUUUUUAUCUUAGCCAAUAAUGCUUAGAGUUUCUUUAAAUUAAUUGUAUUCAAUUGCAUAUAAUGCAAUUGGAGUGUUAACAAAGGUAUAAACAGGGGUUCAAGUAUUCGUUAGACCAACUAACAAGCUACGGAAGCUCUUACCUUGCAUGAACUAUCAGUUUGUAUUAUUCGUUUAACUAUUCUAACUAUUUGUUUUUUUUAUUGAAAGCAGGAGAAAAAAAAAAUCAAAUCAUUUCAUUUUUACUUGUAUGGAAAUUAUUCUUUUUUAAUACAACAUUGGUUUAGGCGUCAAUCGGAUCUUAUAGCUUUAAUAGUGUACGUGAAUAAAACUUUUUGCUUUACGAAUGUAGGUCUAGAAAUAGGUGGUCAGCUGAACUUGGAAACAAGGAUUCGGUUAGCUGAACUUGGCAACAAGGAUCUAGGUGGCUCAUGCGGCUCUCGAGCAUCGCUUGAAGGUAACACAAUAAAAAAGGAUUAUUGCAUUCAGGGUAGGGUAAUCUCUACUUCUAAUAAUUUCAUUAUCCUCAAUCUUUUUCUUCUUUUGUUUUGUUCUCUUUACUAAUUGUUACACUUUGUGAGUUUAGCCCUCUGAAAUGUGACGAUGAGUUAGAGAUUAUUGGAAGGACAUUAAAAAGGAACAGUGUGUCUGUCACUGUAGUUAACUUUGAUGAGGAAGAUGAGGAAAUGCCCUUUUUGACAUGCUGACCCCAUGUUGCAAAGUACUGCUCUAUUUUACGUAUGCUUCUCACUAGAAUAUGGUCCUACAUUUUACUUUGAACGAUUGCUAAUUUUGCAUAAUUCGACAUAUUCAUUACAGGAAUCGUAUUGUAUAUUCAAGUGCAAAACUAUCCCAUUUGAUACCUUGUAAUUUUUAAUUUUUUAGCAGUUGAUGGCAGUAUUGUUGCAAAGAAAAGACGCAUUAGAAUGGGCUCAUACAGGAAAAGAUGCCGUCAAGUCAAUCUGGUUCUUGCCUGUUCUAAAAAAUAUUAUACUUUGGUAGGUUUUCUACUACUCGUUCCUGUUGUUCAUUGUAGUACUCGAUAUAAAAAUGAAGUACUCAAAGAAUAUACUUCUCUUAUGGUUCAACUUAUAAUCUCUUGCACCAUUUAUGUUCUUCGAUCUGACCAUUUAUUUAUUUAGUUUCUUCUUUUCUUAGGUUUGUACCCUUACUUAAUGCAAUCAUUUACCGUGGUGAUAGAGAGGUCACGGAAGAAAUUAAAAGCACAUGCCAGAAAUAAUAGAGCCCAGACACUAUUACUUUCUACUCAGUUCUGGAAACUGCACCUUUGUUGUGUCUUAUGUAUAGUUAUCUUUGAUCUCUGUGUACCUUUGAUUAUGUCAAUUUAUCUUCGAGAUAUCUGGUUAUCUUUAACGUUGAUGUUCCCAAUGAUUUUAAUUCUUUAUGCACUUUCACCAACAAAUGUACAAGAACUUUCAUACUUCUAACUUGUAACUUUGUUUUGUUUUGUAGCACUACUUUUGCACAAAACCUCUUCAAUGAAGUUUAAAUUUAGCAGGAGUGUAUUGUUGGCUUCAUGAUAUUUUUCUAC